rnacentral:piRNA from 1 species
UGAAAUGGAAGUGUGCUGGAUGCUUAUU